rnacentral:rRNA from 1 species
CACGUAGGGGGCAAGCGUUGUCCGGAUUUAUUGGGCGUAAAGCGCGUGUAGGUGGCCAAGUAGGUCCGCUGUGAAAACUUGAGGCUCAACCUCAAGCUGUCGGUGGAAACCCCUUGGCUAGAGUCCGGAAGAGGAGAGUGGAAUUCCUGGUGUAGCGGUGAAAUGCGCAGAUAUCAGGAAGAACACCAAUGGCGAAGGCAGCUCUCUGGGACGGUACUGACACUGAGACGCGAAAGCGUGGGGAGCGAACAGG